rnacentral:rRNA from 1 species
AUGGUGUCGCCGAGCGAGCGCAGAGCUGCGCACAAAACUCUCUGUCGUCUUCGUCUACCUCUCUUCCGCGGCGGUGACAGCGAUCUAGGCCUCGCCGGAGCUCUCGGCUCCAACACGAUCAUCGCGCUCGUUGCGCUGAUCUGCUGCCUCGUGGCCGGCGGCGGGGCGCGCGCGCAGCCGUUCGACUACCCGGCGGCGAGGCUCGCCACGACCUGGGCCAACACGGACGCCGCCCUGCCGCACCACGUCGUCUACACCGACGGCUCCGUGGCGCGCGCCGCCCUGCUGCGGCUCAACCCGGCGGGCCUCGGCCCCUCCUACGCCUUCGGCUUCUUCUGCACCGCCAGUCAACCACGCGGCAACGGCCCCGCGGCCCCGUGCACGGAGUUCCUGCUUGGCGUCGCCGUCGUGUACUGCAACAGCGGCGCGGGCAUGACGUUCGUCACGGCCGGCGUCCCGCAGGUCGUCUGGUCGGCCAACCGCGGCAGCCCCGUCCGGGAUGGCGCCACGGCUGAGCUCACGCCGGAGGGCGACCUCGUGCUCAGCGACGGCAACCUGGUGCUGUUCGACGGGCACAACGCCACGGUGUGGCAGUCGUUCGACCACCCCACGAACGCGCUCCUCGUCGGGCAGUCGCUGAAGCACGGGGCGCGGCUCACCGCCAAUGCGUCGACCGCGGACUGGCGCGAUGGCAGGUUCUACCUCGCCGUCCACGACGAUGGACUGAACGCCUACGUCAACGCCACGCCGCCGCAGCGCUACUACCACCUCGGCCUCAGCGAGACCGCACCCGGCGCCUACGCGACGUACACCAACGGCAGCCUCACGGUGUCCGCCCGGCCCGGUGCGCCGCCGCUGGCCGCCAUCCAGCUGCCCACCGUGGGCGCCGGCACGGUGCAGUACAUGCGACUGGAGCACGACGGCCACCUCCGGAUCUACGAGUGGCGCUCGGGCUGGACGCCGGUGUACGACGUGCUCAAGUCUGCUACGAACUGA